GGAUCAUUAGUGAAUUGAAUAUGUUAGCGGACCUCUUCGGAGUCCCUAGCAUCAAAUCAUAUCCAUAACACCUGUGAACUGUAAGGCUGUCUUGAAAACGAAAGUGAUUAGAGCGCCUGCCCAUUUUAUACAAACAUUAAAGUAACAAACGUAGUCCUAUUAUAAUCUAAUAAAACUUUCAACAACGGAUCUCUUGGCUUUCGCAUCGAUGAAGAACGCAGCGAAAUGCGAUAAGUAAUGUGAAUUGCAGAAUUCAGUGAAUCAUCGAAUCUUUGAACGCACCUUGCGCUCUUUGGUAUUCCGAAGAGCAUGCCUGUUUGAGUGUCAUGAAAAUAUCAACCUUGACUUGGGUUUAGUGCUCUUGUCUUGGCUUGGAUUUGGCUGUUUGCCGCUCGAAAGAGUCGGCUCAGCUUAAAAGUAUUAGCUGGAUCUGUCUUUGAGACUUGGUUUGACUUGGCGUAAUAAGUUAUUUCGCUGAGGACAAUCUUCGGAUUGGCCGAGUUUCUGGGACGUUUGUCCGCUUUCUAAUACAAGUUCUAGCUUGCUAGACAUGACUUUUUUAUUAUCUGGCCUCAAAUCAGGUAGGACUACCCGCUGAACUUAAGCAUAUCAU
rnacentral:sRNA from 1 species